rnacentral:rRNA from 1 species
GAAUUCGCCCUUAGAGUUUGAUCCUGGCUCAGGAUGAACGCUGGCGGCGUGCCUAACACAUGCAAGUCGAGCGAGAAGCUCAUGACAGACGCUUCGGUUGAAGUCACGAGUGGAAAGCGGCGGACGGGUGAGUAACGCGUAGGCAACCUGCCCUUUGCAGAGGGAUAGCCUCGGGAAACCGGGAUUAAAACCUCAUAAUACCGCAGUGAGACAUCUCACGGUGGUCAAAGAUUUAUCGGCAAAGGAUGGGCCUGCGUCUGAUUAGUUAGUUGGUGGGGUAACGGCCUACCAAGGCGACGAUCAGUAGCCGACCUGAGAGGGUGAUCGGCCACAUUGGAACUGAGACACGGUCCAAACUCCUACGGGAGGCAGCAGUGGGGAAUAUUGCACAAUGGGGGAAACCCUGAUGCAGCAACGCCGCGUGAAGGAUGAAGGCCUUUGGGUCGUAAACUUCUGUUCUAAGGGAAGAUAGUGACGGUACCUUAGGAGCAAGUCCCGGCUAACUACGUGCCAGCAGCCGCGGUAAUACGUAGGGGGCAAGCGUUAUCCGGAAUUAUUGGGCGUAAAGAGUACGUAGGUGGUUUUCUAAGCACGGGGUUUAAGGCAAUGGCUUAACCAUUGUUCGCCUUGUGAACUGGAAGACUUGAGUGCAGGAGAGGAAAGCGGAAUUCCUAGUGUAGCGGUGAAAUGCGUAGAUAUUAGGAGGAACACCAGUGGCGAAGGCGGCUUUCUGGACUGUAACUGACACUGAGGUACGAAAGCGUGGGGAGCAAACAGGAUUAGAUACCCUGGUAGUCCACGCCGUAAACGAUGAGCACUAGGUGUCGGGGUCGCAAGACUUCGGUGCCGCAGUUAACGCAUUAAGUGCUCCGCCUGGGGAGUACGUUCGCAAGAAUGAAACUCAAAGGAAUUGAC